GGAAACUAUUACGUUGUGUCGACAUUACGUGCCGAUUAGGACGAGAGUAUAACAACAACUAAACUAAACUUGUUUACGAACGCGAAAGACAAAGUACGUAGACAAAACAAGUCUAACGUUGUAUAUGAAUUUACAUGUCCUAAGUGUAACAAACAGCUACAUAGCCGGCCGAACGCUUCUGGAACGGAUGAAGGAACAUGCCGACAAAAACAAGGAAAAUGUCGUGCUGUGUACAAACACAUACUAGCUGCUACGACCGAACACUCUUGAAAUCACAAUCAAACACACAACUGGACAGAACUUGCUCUCACAUCGAUUCUUCCAGAAACUGGAAUUUAUUACUAUACAAAGAAGCGCUACAUAUUAAAAGACGAAAAAUCAAGUUUAAAUAGUGGACUAAAGGCUUUAAAUAGUGGACUUACAAUUAUUUAAUUGAUUGAAAUCCACUGAAUGAAAGAAGAACGUGAUCUGAUCACGAAUAUAACGUAAUUAAUGGUUGCUUACUCACAUUUGCAAACGCUACCUUGUUUAAAAAUUGCUUACGCAUUUCGUGUCUUUGUCAAACGAGAAGAUUUCCAUGAGAAUUUAUGAGGGUAGAUUGCAUGGGUAUUAACACGCAUGCGUCUGUGUAAUAUAACGACAUGUUUUGUGAAUAGCUGCCAAAGAUGAAUCAGAUU